rnacentral:tRNA from 1 species
CAUCGGGCUAUAGCGCAGUUUGGUAGCGCGCCUGCUUUGGGAGCAGGAUGUCGUGGGUUCAAAUCCCGCUAGCCCGACAA